GAUGAACGCUGGCGGCGUACCUAAUACAUGCAAGUCGAGCGAACAGACGAGGAGCUUGCUCCUCUGACGUUAGCGGCGGACGGGUGAGUAACACGUGGAUAACCUACCUAUAAGACUGGGAUAACUUCGGGAAACCGGAGCUAAUACCGGAUAAUAUAUUGAACCGCAUGGUUCAAUAGUGAAAGGCGGUUUUGCUGUCACUUAUAGAUGGAUCCGCGCCGCAUUAGCUAGUUGGUAAGGUAACGGCUUACCAAGGCAACGAUGCGUAGCCGACCUGAGAGGGUGAUCGGCCACACUGGAACUGAGACACGGUCCAGACUCCUACGGGAGGCAGCAGUAGGGAAUCUUCCGCAAUGGGCGAAAGCCUGACGGAGCAACGCCGCGUGAGUGAUGAAGGUCUUCGGAUCGUAAAACUCUGUUAUUAGGGAAGAACAAAUGUGUAAGUAACUAUGCACGUCUUGACGGUACCUAAUCAGAAAGCCACGGCUAACUACGUG
rnacentral:rRNA from 1 species